AGAACGAACGCUGGCGGCAUGCCUAACACAUGCAAGUCGAACGAGACCUUCGGGUCUAGUGGCGCACGGGUGCGUAACGCGUGGGAAUCUGCCCUUGGGUUCGGGAUAACAGUUGGAAACGACUGCUAAUACCGGAUGAUGUCUUCGGACCAAAGAUUUAUCGCCCAGGGAUGAGCCCGCGUCGGAUUAGCUAGUUGGUGGGGUAAAAGCCUACCGAGGCGACGAUCCGUAG
rnacentral:rRNA from 1 species